AUGGGAACGCGAAGAACCUUACCUAGACUUGACAUCUCCUGAAUAGUGUAGAGAUACAUGAAGCCCUUCGGGGCAGGAAGACAGGUGGUGCAUGGUUGUCGUCAGCUCGUGUCGUGAGAUGUUGGGUUAAGUCCCGCAACGAGCGCAACCCUUAUUACUAGUUGCCAUCAGAUAAUGCUGAGCACUCUAAGAAGACUGCCUACGCAAGUAGUGAGGAAGGUGGGGAUGACGUCAAGUCCGCAUGGCCCUUACGCCUAGGGCCACACACGUGCUACAAUGGCCAUUACAAAGGGCUGCAAUACCGCGAGGUGGAGCCAAUCCCUAAAAAAUGGUCUCAGUUCGGAUCGGAGUCUGCAACUCGACUCCGUGAAGCUGGAAUUGCUAGUAAUCGCGCAUCAGCACGGCGCGGUGAAUACGUUCCCGGGUCUUGUACACACCG
rnacentral:rRNA from 1 species